AAGUUCGACUUCCGAUACCAAUACCGAUACUAACAACAUGUCAUGCGCAUGCUCUCUGCUCGCAAGAAGCACAAGCACAAGGACAAGUGUAUUGGAAGUCACCACUACCGAAGUCGGCCUUGUAUUGGAAGUCGGGGGAAUUGUAAGAUAAACUCAUAUAAAUCGGAUAUUUCAUAAUUUUUACGAUAAACAUGUAAACUAUUUGUUUAUUAGCAUCGUCUGAGUCGUGUUUUAGUCGGAAUUUU